ensembl:lncRNA
AAAAUGUUUAAAAAUAAAGAAGUCUUGAGAACAAAUGAUCUGCCAGAUGAUUCUGUUUCUCCACAGGAGCAGAGUCUGAAGUCUGGAGAUUGGAUUUUGAUAAGGCCAUGGAGAGGAAGUGCUGGUCCAGUCCACGGUGGUCCCUAUCGGGUGAUGCUGACGACGACCAUAGCAGUGAAGAUUGCUGAAAGGAUUACUUGGAUAUGUGACAGGGGGCUUUCGCGCGCUCUCCUCACUGCAAUAAACCACUGCAUGAGAGACGCAAGUCAUAAUCACUCUCGUGAUUCUUUUCCCCCUGUUUUCAGGGGUGUAACAUUUGGAGGCACCGCUGGGAUCGCUGCUUAGAUGUCCGGUGUCCACAAUCUGCACAUCGUAGUCCAAGCCAGCCAAAUCCCCCCAUACAACCCAGGCAGACUGCAGUGAGGAAAGUGUUGCUGUCGAGGCGAACUGGUAGCUGUGUUUUAGCGCAUGUUUCCUGAGGCCAGCCAGAGAUCAUCAGGGGCUGCAAAA